GUAUGAUGUAAGCUUAAAUAUGUUGACGCUGUGCUCCUUUCUUCCAAAGAACAUAUGGUAUUAUGGACCGAAUCUUGCAUAAGAAAAUAAAUAACAACCUAAAAAUGGAACUGCUCUUAUAACUUAUAAUAUGAAACAAAAUCGUUAAAUAAUGAUGAAAAAGAUAAUAUCAUACUAUACCUUGACCUCUGAUCGCGCACAAUAUGUAGAAAAAAAUCAUAAUAUGAGAAAAAUAUACAAAUAUACAAUUUGGACAACAGAAUUUUUAGGAUAGGCAAUAUAACAUCUCGAAAAACGUACACGGGAAAACAAUUUAUUAAACUACAAAAAAAUUGUUCAUCUUUAGUUUGUAUGUUUCAAAUGACUUUGCUGUUGCGAUCUCCAGGGGAAGCUUGUUCCAGUUAUUGGUGGUGUUCACAAAGAAGGAUCCUGUCCUGCAGUUUUCAGUUGCUGUUUGUAACAUGUACCCAUGCUGUUGUGUGUAUCUGGGUAUUCUAGUUUAUCUUUUGAGGUACAUGUAUUUGCUGAUGGCUACUUUGUCGUUACUUAUACAUAAUUGCGAUCCUGGACUCUUUGCGUCGUUCUUGGAGACUUUUCCAACCAAACUCGUUACUCAUGUCCGUGACACUUUAUCUGUUUCUGUGGGUCUUGGUAACGUAUCGCGCAGCCCUCCUUUGAACGUUUUUAAUUUUGUCAAUAUAUUUUUGAUGAUAUGAGUCCCAUACUUUUGUGUCGUAUUCUAGUGUCAUUAGCGUCUACCUGAAAUCUUCUUUUACUAAUACUAUAAUAAUAACUUAGAUUAUUGUGCCUAUAACAUUGUGCCUAGAGCAUUUUGCUCCUUAUACUUCAGGAAAUGUUGAUGUAGUCGUUUCUCAAUUUCUUUCCGUUUUGAAUUUUCCUCGGAGUUUAAUAUUUUUGUUAAUUAAUAUUAUUUUGUAUAGAUGGCAUACUUAUAGUUAGUUGUCAAAGGUACCAGGAUUAUAAUUUAGUACGCCAGACGCACGUUUCGUCUACAUAAGACUCACCAGUGACGCUCAUAUCAAAAUUUUUAUAAAGCCAAACAAGUACAAAGUUGAAGAGCAUUGAGGAUCAAAAACGUUGUGCCAAAUACGGCUAAGGUAAUCAAUGCCUGGGAUAAGAUCCAAUUUUAAAUUCGUCCACAUUGACGCAUAAUGUUUGACAAACUGUCUCUAUGGGUUUUUGUAUUUGCGUACUUAGAAAUGUGUUGCAUGACAAUCUUGUUUUCUUUCGUUUUCCUAUCCUUAGAUGCUUGCGAGAUACGUAAAGUCUUCAAAACUUUCUCCUGGUAGAUCAGUCAUUGUAAUUUGUGUUGUAUAUUAGGUGUUGGUCUAUAGUACUUUAGUUUUGUUAGAACUUUGUUUCAAACAAGGGGGCCUCGGUGGCCAAGUGGUCUUAGUAGUUUUACUGCUUUAAUCACUAGCCAUUUCACACUGUAGUUGUGUGUUCGAAAUAGUCAAAACGUGGUGCUUAAAAGUUAAAACACCAACAAUAAAUCAAAUCAAUUCAUACAAGGUUGCUUUAAGGUGUAAUACCACCAUUGAUUUUCCCCUAUUUGUCUUUGUUAAAUUUGCACUUUUCAAAAAAAUGUGCAGAAUUUAUCUUUGUUUCAAAUAAAGAAAUACUUGGCAUGAGUAAAGUUUUAUCCUGUCCAGUUCUAUAGAAAAAAAUUCACAUAACAUUUCAUUGCAUAUAAGAAAAUAACCAUCAUUGGAAGUUAACCAAUCAAAUUUCUCCCCUCAUUUUAUCUGUGUACAAGGUUUAGUCACCAUGUAACCUCAAGAUUACAAAAUUUUCUAUAGAAAUCCCAAAUAAAAAAUAAUGGUGUUUUGAAAUACCCAAGACAUAUGUUUAUGACACAGAAAUGAUUUUACUGCAAUAAAAUGUAGGAUUAAUUACCUACAACUGUCAAAUUCAAGGGAAUAUUUUUU
rnacentral:lncRNA from 1 species